UGGGGAAUAUUGCGCAAUGGGCGAAAGCCUGACGCAGCAACGCCGUGUGAGGGAUGAAGGCUUUCGGGUCGUAAACCUCUGUCGGAAGGGAAGAACGGGCAUUGGUCUAAUAGGCCUUUGUUUUGACGGUACCUUUAGAGGAAGCACCGGCUAACUCCGUGCCAGCAGCCGCGGUAAUACGGAGGGUGCAAGCGUUAUUCGGAAUUACUGGGCGUAAAGCGCACGUAGGCCGCUUUGUAAGUCAGGGGUGAAAUCCCACGGCUCAACCGUGGAACUGCCCUUGAAACUGCGAAGCUUGAAUCCUGGAGAGGGUGGCGGAAUUCCUGGUGUAGGAGUGAAAUCCGUAGAUAUCAGGAGGAACACCGGUGGCGAAGGCGGCCACCUGGACAGGUAUUGACGCUG
rnacentral:rRNA from 1 species